rnacentral:lncRNA from 1 species
AGACUGAGAGGAGGAGCCAAUAAAGAGGCUGAGAAAGAGAUGACUGACAGCAAGGACAGGGCAGAUACAGCGGGAGAUUGAGCUGGGCCACCAGUGUGGGUUGGCCUUGAGCUGGUAAGGGACAUUGAGACUUCUAGAGUGAAGGAAAAGAAAGUAAAAACCAAUGAAUAUAGAUAUGUUUACAGAGAAAUUGAGCGAGACCUCCCUGAUGACCUCAAUUUUUCCACUGAUGUAAAGGCAAGGUCAUCUGCUGAGAAUGAAAUCAGCAGUUGUUUGGAGAAAGGACUUGGGAGUGUGGCCCGUGGGCCAGCAGCAGCAGCAUCACCUAAGAGUUUCCUAGAAAUACAGAGUCUCAGGCCCCAGCCCAGACCUGCUGAAUCGACAUGCACAUUUAAACGGAUCCCCAGACCGAAGGUCUUUGGAGUCCCUGACCACCUAGGAAAUAUAACUCCUUGGUCUUGGAUUUCUCGGCCUGGUCCUCAGAAAUGGUGCUGGACAAAGCUGUGAAGUAGAUGCUCCAUCUGAAGGACUUUCACAAGUUAGAAAGUGUCUCAAGGAAAGCAGCCAAGAUGGCGAAUGAUGUGGAAAUCAUUUUACAUGAAGAAAAGUUGAGAGAAGGACAGAUAUUUAUCCUAAAGCAAAGAAUGUUACAGGGAAGCAGAUUCUUGCUGAAUACAAAGCCUAACAAUUAGACACAAUUCAAAUGGAACACCUAGUGAAGAAUGAGCUCCGCUCACUGAAAAUAUUCAAGUAGACGUCAAGUUUGGUCAUCUCUCAGGGAUGUUGCAGAAAUAAGUUUUUAGACUUGGAAUGAGGUUGAUCUAAUGUCGCUUAAGUUCCCUACCAGAUUGAAGGCUGCAUCUGGUGCUUUGUAUGGGGGAAGGGGCGUCCUUGUGGAGGGAAGGCUGUUGAGAAUAUUAGAAGAGACUCACUAUUUUCACUUGUAUACGAAUUCGUUACAAUAGUAAUGUUGCAGAGUAUCAGACCGAAUAGAAAACUAGUCAAGGUUAUCUUCUAAUGGAAACUGAAUUACUGACAAAUAUUGCCAAAAUUAGUGUCACAAAUUCACUUCAAAUAAAACAAAACUAGAAAUUUCCUACUUUUAUUAUCUUCUGUACAAAUUCUAUUGUUAGCACACCCAUGAGUUUGCCAUAUUA